rnacentral:rRNA from 1 species
CGAAGGUGCUGCAUGGUUGUCGUCAGCUCGUGCCGUGAGGUGUCGGGUUAAGUCCCCAUAACGAGCGCAACCCCUAUUGAUAGUUACCAGCACGUAAUGGUGGGGACUCUAUCGAGACUGCCGGUGUAAACCGUGAGGAAGGUGGGGAUGACGUCAAAUCAGCACGGCCCUUACAUCCAGGGCUACACACGUGUUACAAUGGCCGGUACAAAGGGCAGCUACUCCGCGAGGAGAUGCGAAUCUUAAAAACCGGUCUCAGUUCGGAUCGAAGUCUGCAACCCGACUUCGUGAAGCUGGAUUCGCUAGUAAUCGUAUAUCAGCCAUGACUACGGUCGAAUACGUUCCGGCCUU